rnacentral:rRNA from 1 species
GUGCCAGCCGCCGCGGUAGUACGGAGGGUGCAAGCGUUGUCCGGAAUCACUGGGUGUAAAGGGUGUGCAGGCGGGGCAACAAGUCGGAUGUGAAACCCCAUGGCUCAACCAUGGAGGUGCAUUCGAAACUGUUGCUCUUGAGUCCCGGAGAGGCUGUCGGAAUUCGUGGUGUAGCGGUGAAAUGCGUAGAUAUCACGAGGAACACCAGAGGCGAAAGCGGACAGCUGGACGGGUACUGACGCUCAGGCACGAAAGCUAGGGUCUCGAACCGGAUUAGAAACCCUAGUAGUCC